rnacentral:rRNA from 1 species
AUUGAACGCUGGCGGCAGGCUUAACACAUGCAAGUCGAGCGGAGCGAGGGUGCUUGCACCUUAGCUUAGCGGCGGACGGGUGAGUAAUACUUAGGAAUCUGCCUAUUAGUGGGGGACAACAUUCCGAAAGGGAUGCUAAUACCGCAUACGCCCUACGGGGGAAAGCAGGGGAUCUUCGGACCUUGCGCUAAUAGAUGAGCCGAAGUCGGAUUAGCUAGUUGGUGGGGUAAAGGCCUACCAAGGAGACGAUCUGUAGCGGGUCUGAGAGGAUGAUCCGUCACACUGAGACAGAGACACGGCCCAGACUCCUGCGGGAGGCAGCAGUGGGCUAUAUUGGACAAUGGGGGAAACCCUGAUCCAGCCAUGCCGCGUGUGUGAAGAAGGCCUUAUGGUUGUAAAGCACUUUAAGCGAGGAGGAGGCUACUGAGACUAAUACUCUUGGAUAGUGGACGUUACUCGCAGAAUAAGCACCGGCUAACUCUGUGCCAGCCGCCGCCGUAA